AUGAUGAUCAUAUCAUUCUUGGAACUACUUCCAACACCCAUUGUUACUUCACCAUUAACUAGUCUCUGUUCAUUCCGCAACUCCUGUUUGAAGUUACUAAUUUUUAGCAACCAAACAAGUAUCAAAUACCCAAGGGCUACUAUGAACACUAGUAAGGUACACGUCAAUAACCUGUAUGUCAAAUAUACCCUUGUUCACUUUGCCAUCCUUCUUAUCUACCAAAUAUUCAGGGCAUUUACGCUUCUUCACGGAAGUAACAACUUGCUUGCCAUUGUACAUGAAGUUCCCUUUCUUUCCCUUUGCCCUUUUCUUGAAACUAGUGGUCUUGUUAAUCAUCAACACUUGAUGCACUUUCUUGAUUUCUACCUUCAUCGAUUUCAUCAUCAUGAAAAGCUCGGGAAUCGUUUUCGUCAUCCCUUGCAUACUAUAGUUCAUCAUGAAGUUCUACUAACUUGGUGA
rnacentral:rRNA from 1 species